rnacentral:rRNA from 1 species
GUGAACGCUGGCGGUAGGCCUAACACAUGCAAGUCGAACGGCAGCACAGUAAGAGCUUGCUCUUACGGGUGGCGAGUGGCGGACGGGUGAGGAAUACAUCGGAAUCUACUUUUUCGUGGGGGAUAACGUAGGGAAACUUACGCUAAUACCGCAUACGACCUACGGGUGAAAGCAGGGGAUCUUCGGACCUUGCGCGAUUGAAUGAGCCGAUGUCGGAUUAGCUAGUUGGCGGGGUAAAGGCCCACCAAGGCGACGAUCCGUAGCUGGUCUGAGAGGAUGAUCAGCCACACUGGAACUGAGACACGGUCCAGACUCCUACGGGAGGCAGCAGUGGGGAAUAUUGGACAAUGGGCGCAAGCCUGAUCCAGCCAUACCGCGUGGGUGAAGAAGGCCUUCGGGUUGUAAAGCCCUUUUGUUGAGAAAGAAAGGCAGCAGGUUAAUACCCCGCUGUUCUGACGGUACCCAAAGAAUAAGCACCGGCUAACUUCGUG